AGAAGGGUCCACUGAGCCGAACCGCCAUUAAACUACCGCGUCACCUCUCACACAAGAGUCCUCAACAUGAGAGGUUCGUACCGAGACCGUGUCCGUAACCGAGGGUAAGCCGCUCUCGUCGACUCAGUCAAGUCACGUCAGAGCUCGCGCACACCGUUAGCUGCCAUUAUGACGUGUGGUUGGGGUGAGGAGGGGUAGGGGAAAGUGUCGCAAAGACGCCCCCCCCCACUGUGUGUCUGUGUGGGUUAUUGAUGAAUAUGUAUUUAAUGCCGUUUAUUUCCUCUGAUAUUUAAUGUUCAUGGUUAAUUUGCAGCAUAGUUGCCGUAGGAGUGGCCUCGAGUUGCCUCUCAGGACCCGUCUCGACUAACUAGGAAAUGCACAUUUCCAUCGCUUAGCCUCUUUGUCACGUUUUUUUUAAUGUAACGCUAAUGUUUUAAAGACUAAACACAGAGGACUUUGCAGUAAAAUGUGAUACCUGUUCGGGAGGCUGUAGUUGAGACGCCGAGGACACGGAGCGAGGACAAAGUAGGUGACUGCUGGUGCCUGUUCAAUAUACUACUAACUUCAAAAAAUACUUGACAAAAUGCUCUUGUUGUCAGUCUGAUAUUUAUGUUAUACGUCGUUAUCUGACGUCAAGUCGAUGUGAGACCAGUUUACUCUUCAUACAGUGUGUAAUGAAGCAUGUAGCCCGUUGUUUACACCCAGCUCGCCCACCGCUGUCAGCUGGGAAACUGUGAUCGACUCCGAUUAAAUUGUGAUACCACAACAAGACUUUGUGCUGUCUCACAUCUCUUAUGUUUUAUAUUCGAGACUACGGAUCAACAUAUAUCCUCGUAACUAUACUCUCAGCACUCACUGGUCCAGAUUAAACAUGACUGUUACCUGUUUUGUUACGAUAAGGACACACAUAACUACACACAGGAGUUGGCGUGUCUUUAGACACAUGACUGGUGAGCAGCUUGCUUGAUGGCAAAGCUCUCGUCUCUGAUGAACCACGCCUCCCACCCCAUGCUUGACACUCUCGCAGCUCCUUCAGCUCCUUCAGCCACCGGCUGAUUCACCCUCGGUGUCUGAGGGAGAGGUGACACACAAUCAGGCUCCUGCUGUGGCAGUGAACACGGAGACGCCUUUAGACUGGACUACCUAUGAUGGAUGUGACCCAAAUAGAGCUACCGUCAGCCCGAUUGUGUUUCAUCGUGCACAGGUUGCAGCAUUGGCGCGACAGUGACCACAACAACAACAACAACACUGGAGUUCAAC